AGAGUUUGAUCCUGGCUCAGAGUGAACGCUGGCGGCGUGCCUAAUACAUGCAAGUCGAACGAUGAAUCUUCUAGCUUGCUAGAAGUGGAUUAGUGGCGCACGGGUGAGUAAUGCAUAGGUUAUGUGCCCUUUAGUCUGGGAUAGCCACUGGAAGCGGUGAUUAAUACUGGAUACUCCCUACGGGGGAAAGUUUUUCACUAAAGGAUCAGCCUAUGUCCUAUCAGCUUGUUGGUGAGGUAAUGGCUCACCAAGGCUAUGACGGGUAUCCGGCCUGAGAGGGUGAUCGGACACACUGGAACUGAGACACGGUCCAGACUCCUACGGGAGGCAGCAGUAGGGAAUAUUGCUCAAUGGGGGAAACCCUGAAGCAGCAACGCCGCGUGGAGGAUGAAGGUUUUAGGAUUGUAAACUCCUUUUGUUAGAGAAGAUUAUGACGGUAUCUAACGAAUAAGCACCGGCUAACUCCGUGCCAGCAGCCGCGGUAAUACGGAGGGUGCAAGCGUUACUCGGAAUCACUGGGCGUAAAGAGUGCGUAGGCGGGGUAAUAAGUCAGAUGUGAAAUCCUGUAGCUUAACUACAGAACUGCAUUUGAAACAGUUACUCUGGAGUGUGGGAGAGGUAGGUGGAAUUUUUGGUGUAGGGGUAAAAUCCGUAGAGAUCAAGAGGAACACUCAUUGCGAAGGCGACCUGCUGGAACAUCACUGACGCUGAUGCACGAAAGCGUGGGGAGCAAACAGGAUUAGAUACCCUGGUAGUCCACGCCCUAAACGAUGGAUGCUAGUUGUUGCCUUGCUUGUCAGGGCAGUAAUGCAGCUAACGCAUUAAGCAUCCCGCCUGGGGAGUACGGUCGCAAGAUUAAAACUCAAAGGAAUAGACGGGGACCCGCACAAGCGGUGGAGCAUGUGGUUUAAUUCGAAGAUAUGCGAAGAACCUUACCUAGGCUUGACAUUGAUAGAAUCUACUAGAGAUAGUGGAGUGCCCUUCGGGGAGCUUGAAAACAGGUGCUGCACGGCUGUCGUCAGCUCGUGUCGUGAGAUGUUGGGUUAAGUCCCGCAACGAGCGCAACCCUCGUCCUUAGUUGCUAGCAGUUCGGCUGAGCACUCUAAGGAGACUGCCUUCGUAAGGAGGAGGAAGGUGAGGACGACGUCAAGUCAUCAUGGCCCUUACGCCUAGGGCUACACACGUGCUACAAUGGGGCGCACAAAGAGGAGCAAUAUCGCGAGGUGGAGCAGAUCUCAAAAACGUCUCUCAGUUCGGAUUGUAGUCUGCAACUCGACUACAUGAAGCUGGAAUCGCUAGUAAUCGUGAAUCAGCCAUGUCACGGUGAAUACGUACCCGGGUCUUGCACACACCGCCCGUCA
rnacentral:rRNA from 1 species